rnacentral:rRNA from 1 species
GGUGGGGAAUUUUCCGCAAUGGGCGAAAGCCUGACGGAGCAAUGCCGCGUGGAGGUGGAAGGCCUACGGGUCGUCAACUUCUUUUCUCGGAGAAGAAACAAUGACGGUAUCUGAGGAAUAAGCAUCGGCUAACUCUGUGCCAG